GAGCCGAUGCUUCCAGAUUUCUAAAUGGAAGAGGGAAGAGCAGCCCUGUGGCUAAGAAAAUGUGUUGGAAAUGGAGAUUUAGCCUCUGUUCUCCACCCUUUCUUAGGAUUUCUUACGAAAAAGUAGUGCCACCUGGAGUAAAAUUAGUGCUCAGCUGGAGGAGGAGGAGCUGCUCAUUGUGAACACCACCAGGGACCCUCCAUGGAGCUUCACCCCAGCCCACCUUCAGGAGCAGCACAGGGCUGCUCACGCUGCCCUUGUCAUGUCCCAGAACAGGCAGUGCUCCCAGCAGCUACCUGCAAGUGGAACCGUGUGGUCAACCAUGGCAACUGGAGGGAAGAAAGCUGCCCUGGGAGUUCCUCGUAUUUCACAAUUGAUGGCAACGUGUGCAGUAAGACAAAAAAAAAAAAGCAUUUAAGUCCUUUGGUGAAGAACAUUGAUUUAAGCAAACUAUCACCAGCAGGUGGAGGGAGCUGAUCCUUCCCCUCUGCUCAGCGCUGCUGAGGCCACACUGGAGUGCCGUGUUCAGUUUACUGCCUGCCAGCAUAGGAGAGACCUGAACACGCACUGGAGGGAGUCCAGCAGAGGGCCAUCAGGUGCUUCAGAGCCUGCAGCACCUCUCCUGUGGCAAAGGUGAAAGAGCUGGGCCUGUGGCAUGAAGAGGGCGUUCAGGGAGACAUCAUCAGUGUUCAUAAAUACCUGAAGGGAACGUGACAAGAGGACUCAGCCAGGUUCCUUUCAAUGGUGCCCAGCGCCAGGACAGGAGGCAAUGGGCACCAAAUGGAACACAGGGGCUCCCUCUGAGCACCAGGCAGCACUGCUGUGCUGUGUGGUGCUGGAGCACUGGCACAGGUUGCCAGAGGCUGUGGGGUCUCCUCCUUGGGGAUGUUCAGAAGCCGCCUGGUGGAGGUGGGCCAGAGGGGCACAGAGGACCCUGCCAGCCUCAGCCAUCCCGGGGUUCUGUGAUUUCUGUAAACAAAGAUUGACACUGAAACAAUGAAGGUAUGGCAAAGUUUAGCAGUCUUACUCACCUGAGCUGAAAAGAGAAGUUGCCUUUAAUAACGAGGUGCUGAAGGGAAAAGUACAACGCAGGCUUGUUUUUUGGGGCCAUGGUCCUUUAGGAUGACCCAGAGCCAUCAGAGUUUGGCCCUGGAGCUAGGCUGCAAUGUGUUGCUUCCUGCAUGAGGCCUCCUGCAGUGUCAUCUGCCUCCACACUGCCCUCCGCAGCCUUCCUGUGGACGGCCCUCAGCCCUCACAAAGCACAUUUUCUAUCUCAGUUUCCCUGAGAUGAGCAAAAAGGCUGCCACUGCCUUCCAUGGCCUUCAGAGCAGCCCAGGGAAGAUGAGGCUGGAGCACAGCUCAUGUCCUCCCCCCUGGCUUGGUUUCAGAUGGCCUCCCUGUUUUGGAUAGCACACCAGUUAGCUCAAAACGAAUGAGACAGAUAAACAAAUUAGACACAAGUAAGCCUCAUUUCAGAGACGCUCCUUAGAAAGUCCUCGUUAGAAAGCCAAUAUACCCAACAAUUUAUCAAACCUCUGCACAGUAAAGCAGCAGCGCUUUGUCCUCCUCCACAGAGCCACACCGAACUGAGCACACUCUGAACCUCCCACGUUUUCCUAUUGGAAAUUACAUCCAGAAUGCCUUUUGUGUGCUAGCGAUAACUUAGACUGCCGAAAAAGAGAUUAUGAGAUCACCUGAACUUGUAGAAGCAUAAAAUGGGAUGGUUUGGGAUGUGAUGAAUGGUGUUCACAAAAGCUCAGGUGACCACCCAGGAGUUUAUAUGGCUGAGAUCAUUUAUUCCUUUGGUAAUUCCAGGAAAGCACUGGGAUCCAUCAGGCGAACGGCGCCUGCUCCUCUCAUCCUGAGGCUGGUACACCUCUCACAGCUCACAACGUGCUGUUUGGACCAAGUGUGCUUUCUGAGCUUAAUCUGCAUUAAAAA
ensembl:lncRNA